GAUGAACGCUAGCGGGAGGCUUAACACAUGCAAGUCGAGGGGUAAAUGGUAGCAAUACUAUGAGACCGGCGCACGGGUGAGUAACGCGUAUGCAACCUGCCCAGUACAGGGGGAUAGCCCGGAGAAAUUCGGAUUAAUACCCCAUAAUGAUAAGAGAUGGCAUCAUUUUUAUUUAAAGUUACGGCGGUACUGGAUGGGCAUGCGUGACAUUAGCUAGUUGGUAGGGUAACGGCCUACCAAGGCAUCGAUGUCUAGGGGUCCUGAGAGGGUGAUCCCCCACACUGGUACUGAGACACGGACCAGACUCCUACGGGAGGCAGCAGUGAGGAAUAUUGGUCAAUGGGCGCAAGCCUGAACCAGCCAUCCCGCGUGAAGGAAGAAUGCGCUAUGCGUUGUAAACUUCUUUUCCAGGGGAAUAAAAUUUCGUACGAGUACGGGACUGAAGGUACCUUGGGAAUAAGCAUCGGCUAACUCCGUG
rnacentral:rRNA from 1 species